GUGAUUACUUAAACGUUUCUCCUGAUCUUUAAUGUCCUGAAGCAGCUUCUCGUUUGUCUUGUGUAUGUCCUUUAUACAGUACAGUAUAUUUACUCAUCUCCUUUAUGCCCCCUUCCAGAGAGCAGUAAUCAUUGUGGUGAUCGUUACCUUCAGCUCGGACUGUUCGUUGUGGUCUUCGAUUAGCUAUCCCUGCUGGAGUUUGACAACGGGGUCAGUAAGGCCAAGCACAGUUCCAAUGAACCUUCAAGAAUCGACCAGUUCUCCUGGCCCGACUCACUUGCAGUUUCGCUCCACUCUUGGCUGGAGCCGGUAGUGCAGCGCCAAGUCCUCGGAAAGCUAUUCUUUCAACUCUCCGUUCCAGGUGGUGCAUGCAGAUAACUCGUGUGAAACAAAACAAAUGUGCACUGAGGUUGGAGACGAGCAGAUCUGGUAUAUAUGGUGAGUUGAGUGUAUAGGAGAUCACUGGAGGGUCUGAAGAGAUACGAAAGGUGCCAUAUAGAAAGAAGUGUAUUGGGAGAGAUGGGAAUGAUAGAAAAGAGCUGAUGAUAAACGGAUACGAGAGGUACUACAGACAAUAGAUACGGAGAAAUGAAAGGACACUAUACUCAAUAGAAAGAAAUGAAACGUGCUAUAACAUCUGUGUAGAUGGGAUGUGAAUUUGUAUUUAAUAUGCUAGAGUAUCUGCAGAUACUGUAUCACAUACUGUACGCUUCUCGCAACUGAGAGGAUG